AUGGAUGUGCUCGCAGCAGCAAAUAAGGAAAAAGGCAAAACAAAAAAAAGGGGUAGUAAUGAACCACAAGUUCGAUAGAUUGAGAACUGGCAGCCUUCCAAUAUCUUCGAGCAAAACCUCAAUGCUUCAAGCCGACUUGUUCUCUGAAUUGAUUUGAGGGUCAGUCUGAUAGUACACAACUUCUCCUGAGUCACUAACAUAAUGAUCACGACGCAGGCUCCUCGCUAGAUCUCGAAAUAGGUGAAAUGGGAUCGGGCUGGAUUUCUCUGGCUCUCGGUAGUACUUGCCAAGCACAGGUCUGACAGCCUCAGUUGCUUGUAUUAGAUUGUAGUGAGGUAUCUGCGGAAAGAGGUGGUGUAUGACAUGAGUCCCGAUAUCAUGGUGGAUGUUGUUGAACCAUCCAUAGUCGCGGUCAAGAGUUGUCAGCCCUCCUCUUAGAUAACUCCAUUGCUUCCCGCGGUACCAGGGGAGCUUCUCAUCGUGUCCAUGAUGAUGCAAAUAGGUCACGAAAUCCAACCACAUAACAAAUAUCCAAUACGGAACUCCAUAAAGCUUAAGCAUCUGAAUAGGCCCAUGACGAAGGAUAGCCCGACAAGGAGGGCAGCCAUCGUCGUCCAGCAUGCAGUCGAU
rnacentral:misc_RNA from 1 species